UUUCCGUAGGUGAACCUGCGGAGGGAUCAUUACAGAGUUCAUGCCCUAACGGGUAGAUCUCCCACCCUAUGUUAUCAUCACUUUGUUGCUUUGGCGGGCCGUCAGGCCUCGGCUUGGCUACCGGCUCUCGCUGGUAAGCGCCCGCCAGAGAACCCCAAACCCUGAAUAUCAGUGUCGUCUGAGUACUAUAUAAUAGUUAAAACUUUCAACAACGGAUCUCUUGGUUCU
rnacentral:misc_RNA from 1 species